UAUGCUAUAAGCCAAUAUUCUAACUUGUUCUUUGUAGUUUGACAAGUGUAGAUAUCCUAUAGUCAUGAUAUUUUUCCCUCAAGUAACAGUGGCUUGAAAAAUCAUGGGAACACUAAGAACACACCAUAGUAAGUGGUAUAUAAGCAGUUUUUACCUUCUGGAUGGGUUGAAGUAGGCUUUCUAAUAGAGAUGACUAUUCAGUGGGUCUAUAGAGGAUGAAUAGAGAUCACUAGGAAAAUACGAGCAGAAUUUCCAGACCAAUCAAAGAGAAAGGGUAAUUGCAUGAGGUAUUACAUGGUAAGUUGGGGGAAUUGUGUUAGUUGUCCUACUUAAUUAGGAUUCAAAGUGUAGGGCACAUAGGGAUAGUUAUAAAAAGCUGAUGUUUAGAGAUGAAAGGUUGUUUGAAAUAAGAUCUUAAGCAAUUUAAUUACCAAAGCAAGCAAUUUGCUUAUCAUUUAUGAGGAACCAGCAGAAGUUAUUAAGCAGAGAAAUUAUUAAUGAGAAUUGAGACAACUUUGAUUUUUUUCUUUUUCUCCCAAUAUUUGUGCUUACCAGGAGAGAACACUGUAUCAGAAGAAUAAGUUUGAGAGUCUCAGCAGUCAUGAAUAACUUCAGUAGAUUAAAUUGGAGAUUGCAGCUUGAUGGAGAGUUCUAGAAAUGAGAAUUAUUUUCAUCGAUAGAUUGAGAGACCACAAGUGGUAGAAGGGGCAGAGGAAGAAGCAGACUCCCUGCUGAGCAUGGAGUGUGAUGCAGGCCUUGAUCCCAAGACCCUGAGACUGUGACCUGAGCCAAAGUGAGAUACUGAACCAACUGACCCACCAGGCGUCCCUACUUUUCCCUUCUACAUCAUUGGACUGGUUUAUAACAGGUGCAGAAUUGUCGGCCUGGUGCAUCUUUCUGAAGAGAAUUUCUGAUCUUGAAUGAGCCUUCUUUGGGAAAUAUGCACAGAAUAAAUGUUCACAUGUAGGAUUUUUUCCCAAUUAUUUAUGAUGUUUCAAUAUACUGACUCUAGAUUGGUUUCUACACAACCAACCCUUUUGUUUUCUCGCUAAACUUCCAUCUUAAGAAUUCGCUGUCUUUACAUAUAAGCAAAGUUACCAAUACACCCUAGACAUUUUGCAAUACAACUGUAGCCUGCAAUUCCAAAGUUUUAUUUAUUUCAUCUUGGUUUGGCUGAUUCUUAUUCAUUUUUUAAUUAAUGUUUUUGUUUUUGUGUAUUUGCUGUUACACUUUGAGUGGCUUAGGUAACUUGCCUCCAAAUAAGCAUCUCCUUUGUGGACUGUUGCCUUGAAAUUGGUUUUUAUACUGAUGUUCCUUUUCAGCAGUCCCCAGCAUGGUCAAAUCUUUUGGAACUCUGCUUCAGAUAAUCACAGAUAACUCUUCACUUUGUCUGUUCUGCAUGGCCUCCUUCAGAGCAUGACAGUUGCUUAGAGUUACCAUCAGCCUAUAUUCUUCAUUUUUGUUUACCCUAGAAGAUGGAACUAAGCUGCACCAAAGAUGCAGCCAAGGGCAAUGCACUUUUUGCAGUCCAAGACUGAAGGUGGAGGUGUCCUUGUUGAAUUAUAUUUUAUGUAUCACUCACAGUCAUUUUGAUGAAGCCCUUGCAUAAAGUCUUCUUUUGAGUGUAGCAAAUAAAGCAAUUGCAUUGGUACUGUGCUUUGGAGAUCCUGCCCUGCUAGGUGCUUGUGUCUGAUUAAUUUUUCCUGGCAGGUAGGGCCCACAUAAGAGCUCAGAGGGCUAGGAGAAUAAAACCAGAAUAGUAGUAAGCAUGAGUCAUGUUCUGGAGUAGGGCCAGAGGCUGACACUUGGGUGGCAAAUCUGAAAAAUGUCAUUGGUGUAAGUGAGAAGAGAGGGGAAGCUGAGAUAUGUACAGGAAUCAUAGAACAGGGGAAUCAGAAUUGAGGAGGGACGGAAGUAGACGACCAGAAGUGGUGGUGUAAAUUGGUAGUUAACACACCUGCUAUGAAUUAGGACCACCUAAGCAGUAAGAAGUCAUUGAUACUGGGUCCCCACCAAUAUACUCACUGAAUGAGAAUCUUCAGAAUGAGGCCCACACAUCUGUCUUUUCUUAUAGCUCACACAUUUCUGACUUCCUAUGUUAGUGGAGCCGUGUUAGGAAACCACUGCUUUGGAGAAACCUGAAGACAGAAGUGGGGCUCUCACAUGCUGUUUACAAAACUCUCAGAUAGAUGGCUCAGGCUGUCUCAGGUUGUUUAAAGGGGCUGGCGUGAGGUGAAUAGUUUGUUGGUGAUUCAGGAAAAUGGCAAUAGAAGAGAAUAUUUGGUUCACAAACUAAGAAAGGAAGCCAGUUUAGUACUAACCUCUCUCAUGGGAAUGAAUCCAGAAUAUUG